rnacentral:rRNA from 1 species
GACGAACGCUGGCGGCGUGCCUAAUACAUGCAAGUCGAACGCAGUGGGGACGGGUGAGUAACCCGUGGGUAACCUCCCAUCAGAGGGGAUAACACUUGGAAACAGGUGCUAAACCGAUACUGUUGGAUGAACCCGCGGGGCAUUAGCUAGUUGGUGGGGUAACGGCUCACCAAGGCCACGAUGCAUAGCCGACCUGAGAGGGGGAUCGGCCACACGGGGACUGAGACACGGCCCAGACUCCUACGGGAGGCAGCAGUAGGGAAUCUUCGGCAAUGGAGGAAAGUCUGACCGAGGAACGCUGCGGGGGUUGAGGAGGUUUUCGGGGCGGAAAAGUCUGUUGUUAGGGAAGCGGUAACUAACCAAAAAGCCACGGCUAACUACGUGCCAGCAGCCGCGGUAAUAC